CCUACGGGUGGCUGCAGUCGAGAAUCAUUCACAAUGGGGGAAACCCUGAUGGUGCGACGCCGCGUGGGGGAAUGAAGGUCUUCGGAUUGUAAGCCCCUGUCAUGUGGGAGCAAAUGACAAUGAUAGUACCACAAGAGGAAGAUACGGCUAACUCUGUGCCCGCAGCCACGGUAAUACAGAGGUCUCAAGCGUUGUUCGGAUUCACUGGGGGUAAAGCGUGCGUAGGCGGUUGCGUAAGUCGUGUGUGAAAGGCGCGGGCUCAACCCGCGGACGGAACCUGAUACUGCGAGACUAGAGUAAGGGAGGGGGAACUGGAAUUCGCGGUGUAGCAGUGAAAUGCGUAGAUAUCGAGAGGAACACUCGUGGCGAAGGCGGGUUCCUGGACAGUAACUGACGCUGAGGCACGAAGGCCAGGGGAGCGAAAGGGAUUAGAUACCCGAGUAGUC
rnacentral:rRNA from 1 species